AGAAAACGGACUGAAAAAGACAGCUGGUCGCAGACACUGAACUGAGCAAUUUAGGCGUGUUAUUACAUUGGAAUCCAAAGUUCUGCAAUGUUUUACACUUUUAAAGAUGUCUAAAAUGCUAACGUGGCUGGGACUAAUCAUCACCAUUAUGCAAUAAGUUGACUGAGCAAUAGUGCAAUCCCUUCGCCUCUCCCUUUCUCGGUCACUGGCUGGGUAUAAACUCUCGGCUUUAACAUGUUAUCUAUGUAAAUUCUCGUGCUCACAGCUGGACAAGAUGCAUUCAAGAGUUUUGCUGUUUCCUGUGUGGUGCGGCUGCAUUCCCCUAACGACUGUCUCCCGUCAGAACCCACAGAGACCUACCUUCUUAACCACCGUUUCAACGGUUUCUUACCACUUCCACCUUUCUGCAGAACAUUUCACUUGGAAGGAGGUUCAUAAAUAUUUGUUCACUGGGCUGUUCGGACUGAUAGCAUCUCUUGGGACUUAAACUUUGAUGCACGAUUCUCAUUUGGAAAAAAAAAAACGCAACUGUCAAACAUGGACAGAUAAUACUAAAAAUGAAAACAAACUCUUCUCUGUUUCAGGGUCACAGUAAGAUAGUUAUUUGCUUUUCUGUUUGGAAAAAUAGGAUUCCUUACGUUUUUCUAAAAAUCAAAGUGAAAAUAUUACUUACUUGUUUUGCUGACUUUUUCAAAAUUUUGCUACAAUUGGAUCCUAAAUCAUGUGUUUUAUUGAUAAAUGUACUAUUUUUAGUAGCAACUAUAGACCUAAGAAUAGAAAAUAAAAUUAGAUUGACAAACAUGAUGGCAGAGAUUUAAAUUUUUUAUAACAAAUGAGAGAA